ACUCCUACGGGAGGCAGCAGUGGGGAAUAUUGCACAAUGGGCGCAAGCCUGAUGCAGCCAUGCCGCGUGUGUGAAGAAGGCCUUCGGGUUGUAAAGCACUUUCAGUCGUGAGGAAGGUAGUGUAGUUAAUAGCUGCAUUAUUUGACGUUAGCGACAGAAGAAGCACCGGCUAACUCCGUGCCAGCAGCCGCGGUAAUACGGAGGGUGCGAGCGUUAAUCGGAAUUACUGGGCGUAAAGCGCAUGCAGGUGGUUGUUAAGUCAGAUGUGAAAGCCCGGGGCUCAACCUCGGAAUAGCAUUUGAAACUGGCAGACUAGAGUACUGUAGAGGGGGUAGAAUUUCAGGUGUAGCGGUGAAAUGCGUAGAGAUCUGAAGGAAUACCGGUGGCGAAGGCGGCCCCUGGACAGAUACUGACACUCAGAUGCGAAAGCGUGGGAGCAAACAGGAUUAGAU
rnacentral:rRNA from 1 species